AACGCACGAGACCUGCGGACCUGCGGAGGGAUCAUUACCGAGUGCGGGCCCUCUGGGUCCAACCUCCCACCCGUGUUUAUCGUACCUUGUUGCUUCGGCGGGCCCGCCUCUCCUGGCCGCCCGGGGGCCUCUAGCCCCCGGGUCCGAGCCCGCCGAAGACACCCGCGAACGCUGUCUGAAGAGUGCAGUCUGAGCUUCUGAGUUAAAUCGGUUAAAACUUUCAACAACGGAUCUCUAGAU
rnacentral:misc_RNA from 1 species